UACGGAGGGCGCAAGCGUUAUCCGGAUUCACUGGGUUUAAAGGGUGCGUAGGCGGAUUGGUAAGUCCGUGGUGAAAUCCCCGAGCUUAACUUGGGAACUGCCGUGGAUACUAUCAGUCUUGAAUAUCGUGGAGGUAAGCGGAAUAUGUCAUGUAGCGGUGAAAUGCUUAGAUAUGACAUAGAACACCAAUUGCGUAGGCAGCUUACUACUCGAUCAUUGACGCUGAGGCACGAAAGCGUGGGGAGCAAACAGG
rnacentral:rRNA from 1 species